rnacentral:rRNA from 1 species
GAUGAACGCUGGCGGCGUGCCUAAUACAUGCAAGUCGAGCGAACGGACGAGAAGCUUGCUUCUCUGAUGUUAGCGGCGGACGGGUGAGUAACACGUGGAUAACCUACCUAUAAGACUGGGAUAACUUCGGGAAACCGGAGCUAAUACCGGAUAAUAUUUUGAACCGCAUGGUUCAAAAGUGAAAGACGGUCUUGCUGUCACUUAUAGAUGGAUCCGCGCUGCAUUAGCUAGUUGGUAAGGUAACGGCUUACCAAGGCAACGAUGCAUAGCCGACCUGAGAGGGUGAUCGGCCACACUGGAACUGAGACACGGUCCAGACUCCUACGGGAGGCAGCAGUAGGGAAUCUUCCGCAAUGGGCGAAAGCCUGACGGAGCAACGCCGCGUGAGUGAUGAAGGUCUUCGGAUCGUAAAACUCUGUUAUUAGAGAACAUAUGUGUAAGUAACUGUGCACAUCUUGACGGUACCUAAUCAGAAAGCCACGGCUAACUACGUG